rnacentral:tRNA from 1 species
CAAAAUAUAGUUUAAUAAAAAUUCUAAUUUUGGGAAUUAGUGAUGCUGUGUACUAUCAGCUAUUUUGA